rnacentral:rRNA from 1 species
AGUGAACGCUGGCGGUAGGCCUAACACAUGCAAGUCGAACGGCAGCACAGUAAGAGCUUGCUCUUACGGGUGGCGAGUGGCGGACGGGUGAGGAAUACGUCGGAAUCUACUUUUUCGUGGGGGAUAACGUAGGGAAACUUACGCUAAUACCGCAUACGACCCACGGGUGAAAGCAGGGGAUCUUCGGACCUUGCGCGAUUGAAUGAGCCGAUGUCGGAUUAGCUAGUUGGCGGGGUAAAGGCCCACCAAGGCGACGAUCCGUAGCUGGUCUGAGAGGAUGAUCAGCCACACUGGAACUGAGACACGGUCCAGACUCCUACGGGAGGCAGCAGUGGGGAAUAUUGGACAAUGGGCGCAAGCCUGAUCCAGCCAUACCGCGUGGGUGAAGAAGGCCUUCGGGUUGUAAAGCCCUUUUGUUGGGAAAGAAAAGCAGCAGGUUAAUACCCCGCUGUUCUGACGGUACCCAAAGAAUAAGCACCGGCUAACUUCGUG